ACCUUGCUGCUUCACUGCUUCUAAAAACACCAAGUACCUUAUAAUUAUGAAGUCUAAAAUAAAUAUUAUGUUGUUCUCUAACUCCUUGCUGAUCAUUACGAUUUCUAGAAAGAUGCCAGUCCUACUAAACCAACGCCUCACAAACCUUCAUCAGGGAUCAUAGUAACAGUGAAUGAGCCCCAGCAUGGCUUUUCAAGAGUCAAAGUGGACAGCAUGAAUGCUAAGAUGAAACAAGUAUAU